rnacentral:rRNA from 5 species
GGUGAAGUGUUCGGAUCGCGGCGACUGGGGCGGUUCGCCGCCCCCGACGUCGCGAGAAGUCCAUUGAACCUUAUCAUUUAGAGGAAGGAGAAGUCGUAACAAGGUUUCCGUAGGUGAACCUGCGGAAGGAUCAUU